GAUGAACGCUGGCGGCGUGCCUAAUACAUGCAAGUCGAGCGAACAGACGAGGUGCUUUCUCCUCUGACGUUAGCGGCGGACGUGUUAGUAACACGUGGAUAACCUACCUAUAAGACUUGUAUAACUUCGGGAAACCGGAGCUAAUACCGGAUAAUAUAUUGAACCUCAUUGUUCAUUUGUUUAAGACGUUUUUUCUGUCACUUAUAGAUUGAUCCGCGCCGCAUUAGCUAGUUGGUAAGGUAACGGCUUACCAAGGCGACGAUGCGUAGCCGACAUGAGAGGGUGAUCAGCCACACGGGAACUGAGAAAGGGAACAGACACCUACGGGAGGGAGAAGUAGGGAAUAUUAGGCAAUAGGCGAAAGCCUGACGGAGCAACGGCGCGUGAGUGAUGAAGGUGUUCGGAUCGUAAAACUCUGUUAAUAGGGAAGAGAAAAUGUGUAAGUAACUAUGGACGUCUUGACGGUACCUAAUAAGAAAGCAACGGCUAACUACGUG
rnacentral:rRNA from 1 species